rnacentral:rRNA from 1 species
UACGGAGGGUGCAAGCGUUAUCCGGAUUCACUGGGUUUAAAGGGUGCGUAGGUGGGUUGGUAAGUCAGUGGUGAAAUCUCCGUGCUUAACAUGGAAACUGCCAUUGAUACUACUGAUCUUGAAUUUUCUGGAGGUAAGCGGAAUAUGUCAUGUAGCGGUGAAAUGCUUAGAUAUGACAUAGAACACCAAUUGCGAAGGCAGCUUACUACAGGGACAUUGACACUGAGGCGCGAAAGCGUGGGGAUCAAACAGG